rnacentral:rRNA from 1 species
CCUGCGGGUGGCAGCAGUGGGGAAUAUUGGACAAUGGGCGAAAGCCUGAUCCAGCCAUGCCGCGUGUGUGAAGAAGGCCUUCGGGUUGUAAAGCACUUUCAGUGGGGAAGAAAGCCUUGGGGCUAAUACCCUCGAGGAAGGACAUCACCCACAGAAGAAGCACCGGCUAACUCCGUGCCAGCAGCCGCGGUAAUACGGAGGGUGCGAGCGUUAAUCGGAAUUACUGGGCGUAAAGCGCGCGUAGGCGGUCUGAUAAGCCGGUUGUGAAAGCCCCGGGCUCAACCUGGGAACGGCAUCCGGAACUGUCAGGCUAGUGUGCAGGAGAGGAAGGUAGAAUUCCCGGUGUAGCGGUGAAAUGCGUAGAGAUCGGGAGGAAUACCAGUGGCGAAGGCGGCCUUCUGGACUGACACUGACGCUGAGGUGCGAAAGCGUGGGUAGCAAACAGGAUUAGAUACCCCAGUAGUC